CGAACGCUAUCGGUAUGCUUAACACAUGCAAGUUGAACGGAUUAUUUAGGGCUUGCUCUAAAUAAUUAGUAGCAAACGGGUGAGUAACACGUGGGAAUCUGCCCAUCAGUACGGAAUAACACUUAGAAAUAAAUGCUAAUACCGUAUAUUCUCUUAGGAGGAAAGAUUCAUCGCUGAUGGAUGAGCCCGCGUCAGAUUAGGUAGUUGGUAGGGUAAUGGCCUACCAAGCCAACGAUCUGUAGCUGGUCUGAGAGGAUGAUCAGCCACACUGGGACUGAGACACGGCCCAGACUCCUACGGGAGGCAGCAGUGGGGAAUAUUGGACAAUGGGCGAAAGCCUGAUCCAGCAAUACCGAGUGGGUGAUGAAGGCCUUAGGGUUGUAAAGCUCUUUCAGCGGGGAAGAUAAUGACGGUACCCGCAGAAGAAGCCCCGGCUAACUUCGUGCCAGCAGCCGCGGUAAUACGAAGGGGGCUAGCGUUGCUCGGAAUCACUGGGCGUAAAGCGCACGUAGGCGGCUUUUUAAGUCAGGGGUGAAAUCCUGGAGCUCAACUCCAGAACUGCCUUUGAUACUGGGAAGCUUGAGUCCGGAAGAGGUGAGUGGAACUCCGAGUGUAGAGGUGAAAUUCGUAGAUAUUCGGAAGAACACCAGUGGCGAAGGCGGGUCUCUGGACCGUUCCUGACACUGAGACACGAAGGCCAGGGGAGCAAACGGGAUUAGAUACCCCGGUAGUCCUGGCCGUAAACGGUGCACGUUAGGCGUGGGAGGAGUCGACCCCUUCAGCGCCGGAUCUAACGCGUUAAACGUCCCGCCUGGGGAGUACGGUCGCAAGAUUAAAACUCAAAGAAAUUGACGGGGGCCCGCACAAGCGGUGGAGUAUGUGGCUUAAUUCGAUGCAACGCGAAGAACCUUACCUGGCCUUGACAUGCAUAUAGUAGAAGGGUGAAAGCCUAACGAGGUAGCAAUACCAGUAUGCACAGGUGCUGCAUGGUUGUCGUCAGCUCGUGUCGUGAGAUGUUGGGUUAAGUCCCGCAACGAGCGCAACCCCUGUGUCCUGUUGCCACCCCGGCGUGAGUCGGGAGCACUCUGGACAGACUGCCUCGCUUAAACGAGGAGGAAGGUGGGGAUGACGUCAAGUCAGUAUGGCCCUUACGGCCAGGGCUGCACACGUACUACAAUGCCCGGCACAAAGGGAAGCGAGACCGUAAGGUGGAGCAAAUCCCCAAAAACCGGGCCCAGUUCAGAUUGUCGUCUGCAACUCGACGGCAUGAAGCUGGAAUCGCUAGUAAUGGCGCAUCAGCUACGGCGCCGUGAAUACGUUCCCAGGCCUUGUACACACCGCCCGUCACAUCAUGAAAGCCGUUUGUACCCGAAGUCACUGUGCCAACCGCAAGGAGGCAGGUGCCGAAGGUAUGAAUGGUGAUUGGG
rnacentral:rRNA from 1 species